AGCGAACGCUGGCGGCAGGCCUAACACAUGCAAGUCGAGCGCCCCGCAAGGGGAGCGGCAGACGGGAGAGUAACACGUGGGAACGUGCCCUUCAGUUCGGAACAACCAAGGGAAACUUUGGCUAAUACCGGAUACGUCCGUAAGGAGAAAGAUUUAUCGCUGAAGGAUCGGCCCGCGUCUGAUUAGCUAGUUGGUGGGGUAAUGGCCCACCAAGGCGACGAUCAGUAGCUGGUCUGAGAGGAUGAUCAGCCUCACUGGGACUGAGACACGGCCCAGACUCCUACGGGAGGCAGCAGUGGGGAAUAUUGGACAAUGGGCGCAAGCCUGAUCCAGCCAUGCCGCGUGGGUGAUGAAGGCCUUAGGGUUGUAAAGCCCUUUCGGCGGGGAAGAUAAUGACGGUACCCGCAGAAGAAGCCCC
rnacentral:rRNA from 1 species